UGAGUAACCUGCCCUUAACUCUGGGAUAAGCCUGGGAAACUGGGUCUAAUACCGGAUAUGACUCCUCAUCGCAUGGUGGGGGGUGGAAAGCUUUAUUGUGGUUUUGGAUGGACUCGCGGCCUAUCAGCUUGUUGGUGAGGUAAUGGCUCACCAAGGCGACGACAGGUAGCCGGCCUGAGAGGGUGACCGGCCACACUGGGACUGAGACACGGCCCAGACUCCGUACGGGAGGCAG
rnacentral:rRNA from 1 species